UGGGGAAUAUUGCACAAUGGGCGAAAGCCUGAUGCAGCAACGCCGCGUGAGCGAUGAAGGCCUUUGGGUCGUAAAGCUCUGUCCUUGGGGAAGAAGAAAUGACGGUACCCUUGGAGGAAGCCCCGGCUAACUACGUGCCAGCAGCCGCGGUAAUACGUAGGGGGCAAGCGUUAUCCGGAAUUAUUGGGCGUAAAGAGUGCGUAGGUGGUUCUGUAAGCGCGGGGUGAAAGGCUAAGGCUUAACCAUAGUAAGCCUUGCGAACUGCAGGACUUGAGUGCAGGAGAGGAAAGCGGAAUUCCUAGUGUAGCGGUGAAAUGCGUAGAUAUUAGGAGGAACACCAGUGGCGAAGGCGGCUUUCUGGACUGUAACUGACACUGAGGCACGAAAGCGUGGGGAGCAAACAGG
rnacentral:rRNA from 2 species